CCAGUCAGCUGGACAGUCGCGAGGUAUUGCCUCGAGGAAAGUCCGGGCUCCCCCUGGCACGGUGGUGGGUAACACCCACCCGGAGUGAUCCGCGGGCCAGUGCCACAGAAAGCAAACCGCCUGCUAUGCAGGUAAGGGUGAAAGGGUGGUGUAAGAGACCACCGCGGCGCCAGCGAUGGUGCCGGCACGGUAAACCCCACCGGGAGCAAGGUCAUGCAGGAGGCGCCAAGGCUGCCAGGCCGAGUCUCCGGGUAGGCCGCUCGAGGUCGUCGGUAACGGCGAUCCUAGAUAGAUGACUGUUGAAACAGAACCCGGCUUAUAGGCUGGCUGGUCCG
rfam:Dermabacter sp. HFH0086 genomic scaffold acArI-supercont-complete, whole genome shotgun sequence.